rnacentral:rRNA from 1 species
AACGAACGCUGGCGGCAGGCCUAACACAUGCAAGUCGAGCGAAGCCUUCGGGCUUAGCGGCGGACGGGUGAGUAACGCGUGGGAACGUGCCCUUUGGUACGGAAUAGCCCCGGGAAACUGGGAGGAAUACCGUAUGUGGCUGAGAGACGAAAGAUUUAUCGCCAAAGGAUCGGCCCGCGUUGGAUUAGGUAGUUGGUGGGGUAAUGGCCUACCAAGCCGACGAUCCAUAGCUGGUUUGAGAGGAUGAUCAGCCACACUGGGACUGAGACACGGCCCAGACUCCUACGGGAGGCAGCAGUGGGGAAUCUUAGACAAUGGGGGAAACCCUGAUCUAGCCAUGCCGCGUGAUCGAUAAAGGCCUUAGGGUUGUAAAGAUCUUUCAGUGGGGAAGAUAAUGACUGUACCCACAGAAGAAGCCCCGGCUAACUCCGUGCCAGCAGCCGCAGUAACAC